AAUUGAUUACUCUUCUACUCUCAUAUCUAAUCACUGAAUUUGUUUUAACACUAUAUACAGUCCAGUGUAUAUAUCUAAGAUGAAAUUUUCUCAACUGCCUGAAUAUGAUGUUAGUAGUAACACAAGCCUCACCUCUUCUUAAUGGGUGAUGAACUGAGGUGGAGAGAUUCAAUGACUUGCCCAAGGCCAGGACUAGAUUAACUCUGCUAUGAAGCUGGAUUCAAUUUUGCAAAGGUAGGUUCUUACUCCCGAUGACUCAGAUCGAAGCUCACGUGUAAUUCUCAGUGGGAGACACCAUCACUACCCCUCAUCAGGCAGGAAUCAUCGGAUGUCUUUGCAGCAAUCUCCUAAGAGCUACUGUAUGGUCUGGUUGAAAACUGGCAAGAGAAUUGCAGGGGGAGCAAAAAUGAAAACUUCAUGAUCUAAGAUCCUGACAGAAGAAGAUUUCCAUGCAGUGAGAGUUCUUCUCUAUGUUUCAGCUGUGGUGAAAAAGGCUAGGAUGAUCUAACUGGGUUACUUCAAUUUAAACCUUUUCCAUUCGCUUCCCAACGCAAAGAGAGAGACGGAGGACAUGUACAUUGCAGGCCUUAACCAGCUUACACAUUAGAGGCUCUCUCAGUACCUUCUGAAGUCUCUAGCCUUAUGGUGGCAUAUUAUAUCAGUCACUGACUCCCCAAUUAUUGUAUUAACUGAACCUCCACUCUGGUUACUGGGACUUUGUAACUGAUACCAAAUGUUAAUUCAAGCAUUUAUUCUGUUGGUGAUGUUUACUGUAUCGCCUUCUUUGCUAACCUCCCUGCCCCUUGUCUCCCCCAACUCGUCAUACUUCAGAGAGGUUGGCUGCAAGAUAGACAAAACUGAAGUACAGUGAGUGGUUGGCAUUAGAGAGAAGCAGCGUGGCUCAGUGGAAAGAGCCCCAGCU